UGGGGUAUCGCCAAGCGGUAAGGCAUCAGGUUUUGGUCCUGACAUUCGGAGGUUCGAAUCCUCCUACCCCAUCCA
rnacentral:tRNA from 3 species